CGGCGUGCUUAACACAUGCAAGUCGAACGAGAACGGAUUAUAGCUUGCUAUAAGUUGUCAGCUAAGUGGCGCACGGGUGAGUAAUGUAUAGAGUAACCUGCCCUCUAGAAGGAAUAACAGUUGGAAACGACUGCUAAUGCCCUAUAUGCCUUUAAUACAUAAGUAUGCAAGGGAAACGCUUUAGGUGCUAGAGGAUGGGUCUGUAUGGUAUCAGUUAGUUGGUGAGGUAAUGGCUCACCAAGACUAUGACGCCUAACUGGUUUGAGAGGAUGAUCAGUCACACUGGAACUGAGACACGGUCCAGACUCCUACGGGAGGCAGCAGUGGGGAAUAUUGCACAAUGGACGAAAGUCUGAUGCAGCAACGCCGCGUGGAGGAUGACACAUUUCGGUGCGUAAACUCCUUUUAUAUAGGAAGAUAAUGACGGUACUAUAUGAAUAAGCACCGGCUAACUCCGUG
rnacentral:rRNA from 1 species